rnacentral:rRNA from 1 species
ACGUGAAACCGUUUAGGGGUAAACCUGAGAAACCCGAAAGGUCGAAGGGAGAAAUUCAUUCGCGUCUCGUCGCAGGCGUCGGACGGGGUCGAGUGACGGAGAGUGCGUUCGCGUGCUUUUCGCGCCCUCCGUUCGACGAACCGGUAACGAACGCGUGCACUUUUCUCCUGGUAGGACGUCGCGAUCCGUUGGGUGUCGGUCUACGGCUCGCGGUGGAGUCCGUUCGUACGUUUCGCGACGUACGGGCGGACCCGCGUGUCCCGGCUGACUCGCUCGACGGUAUAAGAAUGGUUUAAGGCCGCUCUCCGGAGCGUUCGGCUCGCGGCAAGCGCGCCAGUUGCGUCGGCAAUCGGACCUAGUGCCGAUUCUGACCUCUGGUGACUGUUGGCCGCGAAGUUCUCGAACAGACCUUCUCUCAAUUCUGAAAAACCGAUCUGCGACGCUAUAGCUUUGGGUACUUUCAGGACCCGUCUUGAAACACGGACCAAGGAGUCUAGCAUGUGCGCGAGUCAUUGGGAAUCACUAAACCUAAAGGCGCAAUGAAAGUAAAGGUCCCCCUCGCGGGGACUGAGGGAAGACGGGCGGUUUCACCCUUAAAAGUGGCCGCUCCGCACUCCCGGGGCGUCUCGUUCUCAUCGCGAGAAGAGGCGCACCAAGAGCGUACACGCUGGGACCCGAAAGAUGGUGAACUAUGCCUGGUCAGGACGAAGUCAGGGGAAACCCUGAUGGAGGUCCGUAGCGAUUCUGACGUGCAAAUCGA